GGUUUUCCGGUUUAUCCCGGAGGGCUUGUAGCUCAGUUGGUUAGAGCGCGCGCUUGAUAAGCGUGAGGUCGGAGGUUCAAGUCCUCCCAGGCCCACCAAUUUAUCCAUUAUUUUCAUAAGUGCUUUUGAAAAAUAAGUACUUCUAAAAUAUCGCUUCUAAAAAUUGGCAUGCUUGUUGCUUUUGUGUGUGUGAUCCAAAGUUAAAGCAGUUUAAUGGCAAAAAAAGCAGUUCAAAUGCUAAAAUGCUAAAAGGUCAAAAUUUUGGGAAAGUGAUUUUUGCAGUGUCUAUUUGGUUGAUGUAAAUUUCGAAUAGUCAUGGACGUAAAUGCCCAUAUAAAACAUAUCGGUUAAAUUAUAUCACUUUGGGUCAUACGUUAUAAUACCUCCUUUAA
rnacentral:misc_RNA from 1 species